rfam:Arenibacter sp. C-21 DNA, contig: C21_contig0010.
AGGAGCCGUAUGAUGCGAGAGUAUCACGUACGGAUCUGUGAGAGGCUCAAGGGGAGGUUCCUUGGGCCUACUCGAU